GAUCAUGGCUCCGGAUGAACGCUAGCUACAGGCUUAACACAUGCAAGUCGAGGGGCAGCAUGGACUUAGCUUGCUAAGUUUGAUGGCGACCGGCGCACGGGUGAGUAACACGUAUCCAACCUGCCGAUGACUCGGGGAUAGCCUUUCGAAAGAAAGAUUAAUACCCGAUGGCAUAGUUCUUCCGCAUGGUAGAACUAUUAAAGAAUUUCGGUCAUCGAUGGGGAUGCGUUCCAUUAGGUUG
rnacentral:rRNA from 1 species